rnacentral:lncRNA from 1 species
CUGUUUGCUUAGAUGGUAUCGUUGGCAUGUCAUGCUAUACUUGGUUUGGGAAUGGUUAUUGGGACAAGUCUUGCCCGUUCCCUGGCUGGAUUUGGGUGUGGGUAAACCCCUUCACUAAUUGGUACGGAAUAUACUGCUGCACCACAGCCCCGUGAUUAAAUUAACUGAUAUAAAUCGUCUGAUUUUUUCCGGACGAAAGCAGUUUCUACGACGCACGUGCCCAGUCGUUAAAGUUACAUGAUACAUUUAUCAGUCAAAAAUUAUAAAAUUGGUGAUGUCAUACAACGAUGGGUUUCAAUUCCAGGAUAUUCAACUCUAGUUAUUACUUUCAAUUGAUUCUAUUUAUGAUUUCAUGCGCAUUGAUGCUGAAGGCUAAAAAUUGAAAUUUGUUGAUUAAAAACUUGAAUAAAUUUAUAAUGAUUUUUA